rnacentral:rRNA from 1 species
GAUGAACGCUGGCGGCGUGCCUAAUACAUGCAAGUCGAGCGAACGGACGAGCAGCUUGCUUUUCUGGUGUUAGCGGCGGACGGGUGAGUAACACGUGGAUAACCUACCUAUACGACUGGGAUAACUUCGGGAAACCGGAGCUAAUACCAGAUAAUAUUUUGAACCGCAUGGUUCAACAGUGAAAGACGGUCUUGCUGUCACUUAUAGAUGGAUCCGCGCUUCAUUAGCUAGUUGGUAAGGUAACGGCUUACCAAGGCAACGAUGCAGAGCCGACCUGAGAGGGUGAGGAGGCACACUGGAACUGGGACACGGACCAGGCUCCUACGGGAGGGAGAAGUAGGGAUUCGGACGCAAUGGGCGAAAGCCUGACGGAGAAACGCCGCGUGAGUGAUGAAGGUCUUCGGAUCGUAAAACUCUGUUAGUAGGGAAGAACGUAUGUGUAAGUAACUGUGCACAUCUUGACGGUACCUAAACAGAAAGCCACGGCUAACUACGUG